rnacentral:siRNA from 1 species
AGCGUACACUGUUUGUUGGGCA